GGAUGUGAGGGCGAUCUGGCUGCGACAUCUGUCACCCCAUUGAUCGCCAGGGUUGAUUCGGCUGAUCUGGCUGGCUAGGCGGGUGUCCCCUUCCUCCCUCACCGCUCCAUGUGCGUCCCUCCCGAAGCUGCGCGCUCGGUCGAAGAGGACGACCAUCCCCGAUAGAGGAGGACCGUUCUUCGGUCAAGGGUAUACGAGUAGCUGCGCUCCCCUGCUAGAACCUCCAAACAAGCUCUCAAGGCUUUAGCUAUAGACACUAUUUUUUAAAAAUGAACUAUCUUGAAAGGAUUUACAGCAGACACACAUGCACAUAAAGGUAAAGUACAAUUUAUAAUUAAAUUCUAUAAUUAUAC
rnacentral:snRNA from 1 species